UCCCGUACUUCUAGUUACUGCGAUGGAGGGACGGAGAAGGCUAGGCCAGCACGGCGUUGGUUGUCCGUGUUUAAGGUUGUAGGCUGAGUGCUUAGGUAAAUCCGGGCGCUUAAGGCCGAGAGCUGAUGACGAGUGUUCUUUAGAACGCGAAGUGGUUGAUGCCAUGCUUCCAGGAAAAGCUUCUAAGCUUCAGGUAACUAGAAAUCGUACCCCAAACCGACACAGGUGGUCAGGUAGAGCAUACCAAGGCGCUUGAGAGAACUAUGUUGAAGGAACUCGGCAAAUUACCUCCGUAACUUCGGGAGAAGGAGGCCUCAAUCUGGGCAACCAGGUCUGAGGGGCACAAAACUGGGGGUUGCGACUGUUUAUCAAAAACACAGGGCUCUGCGAAGUCGCAAGACGACGUAUAGGGUCUGACGCCUGCCCGGUGCCGGAAGG
rnacentral:rRNA from 1 species